rnacentral:tRNA from 1 species
GGGGGCAUAAGCUAAUGGCAAACUGCUGGUCUCCAAAACCGGUCUUGAGGGUUCAAAUCCUUCUGCCCCCGCCA